GUGCUGUUGUGUAGUGGUUAUCACAUCCGCCUAACACGCGGAAGGUCCCAGGUUCGAUCCCUGGCAGGCACA
rnacentral:tRNA from 1 species